GUAGUUGUGGGCGAGUGGUUAAGGCGAUGGACUUGAAAUCCAUUGGGGUCUCCCCGCCAGGUUCAAAUCCUGCCAACUACG
rnacentral:tRNA from 1 species